AGUGAACGCUGGCGGUAUGCCUAACACAUGCAAGUCGAACGGCAGCACAGUAAGAGCUUGCUCUUACGGGUGGCGAGUGGCGGACGGGUGAGGCAUACAUCGCAAUCUACUUUUUCGUGGGGGAUAACGUAGGGACACUUACGCUAAUACCGCAUACGACCUACGGGUGAAAGCAGGGGAUCUUCGGACCUUGCGCGUUUGAAUGAGCCGAUGUCGGAUUAGCUAGUUGGCGGGGUAAAGGCCCACCAAGGCGACGAUCCGUAGCUGGUCUGAGAGGAUGAUCAGCCACACUGGAACUGAGACACGGUCCAGACUCCUACGGGAGGCAGCAGUGGGGAAUAUUGGACAAUGGGCGCAAGCCUGAUCCAGCCACACCGCGUGGGUGAAGAAGGCCUUCGGGUUGUAAAGCCCUUUUGUUGGGAAAGAAAAGCAGCAGGUUAAUACCCCGCUGUUCUGACGGUACCCAAAGAAUAAGCACCGGCUAACUUCGUG
rnacentral:rRNA from 1 species